rnacentral:rRNA from 1 species
CGUACGAUACGAGUUUAUCCUGGCUCAGAACGAACGCUGGCGGCAGGCCUAACACAUGCAAGUCGAGCGCCCCGCAAGGGGAGCGGCGGACGGGUGAGUAACGCGUGGGAACGUGCCUCUUGCUACGGAAUAGCCUCGGGAAACUGGGAGUAAUACCGUAUGUGCCCUACGGGGGAAAGAUUUAUCGGCAAGAGAUCGGCCCGCGUUGGAUUAGGUAGUUGGUGGGGUAAUGGCCUACCAAGCCGACGAUCCAUAGCUGGUUUGAGAGGAUGAUCAGCCACACUGGGACUGAGACACGGCCCAGACUCCUACGGGAGGCAGCAGUGGGGAAUCUUAGACAAUGGGCGCAAGCCUGAUCUAGCCAUGCCGCGUGAGCGAUAAAGGCCUUAGGGUUGUAAAGCUCUUUCAGUGGGGAAGAUAAUGACUGUACCCACAGAAGAAGCCCCGGCUAACUCCGUG